ensembl:Y_RNA Y_RNA Y RNA
GGCUGGUCUGAAGGUAGUGAGUUAUCUCCUUUGAUUGUUCACACAGUUACCAAUCAAACGCCUUGUUCUGCCUUUCCCCCACUCACGACUGCACCCAACUAGUGUUAA